rnacentral:rRNA from 1 species
UUUGCUAUAUACAUAUUAACGAGAAAAGAAACCAACAGGGAUUGCCUCAGUAACGGCGAGUGAAGCGGCAAAAGCUCAAAUUUGAAAUCUAGCACCUUCGGUGUUUGAGUUGUAAUUUGAAGAUGGUAACCUUGGGUUUGGCUCUUGUCUAUGUUCCUUGGAACAGGACGUCAUAGAGGGUGAGAAUCCCGUCUGAUGAGAUGCCCAUUCCUAUGUAAGGUGCUAUCGAAGAGUCGAGUUGUUUGGGAAUGCAGCUCUAAGUGGGUGGUAAAUUCCAUCUAAAGCUAAAUAUUGGCGAGAGACCGAUAGCGAACAAGUACAGUGAUGGAAAGAUGAAAAGAACUUUGAAAAGAGAGUGAAAAAGUACGUGAAAUUGUUGAAAGGGAAGGGCAUUAGAUCAGACUUGGUGUUUUACGAUUAUCUUCUCUUCUUGAGUUGUGCACUCGUAUUUCACUGGGCCAGCAUCGAUUCGGAUGGCAAGAUAAUGGCAGUUGAAUGUGGCUUCACUUCGGUGGAGUGUUAUAGCUUCUGCUGAUAUUGCCUGUCUGGAUCGAGGGCUGCGUCUUUUGACUAGGAUGCUGGCGUAAUGAUCUAAUGCCCUGAGUG